AUUGAACGCUGGCGGCAGGCCUAACACAUGCAAGUCGAACGGUAACAGGAAGAAGCUUGCUUCUUAGCUGACGAGUGGCGGACGGGUGAGUAAUGUCUGGGAAACUGCCUGAUGGAGGGGGAUAACUACUGGAAACGGUAGCUAAUACCGCAUAACGUCGCAAGACCAAAGAGGGGGACCUUCGGGCCUCUUGCCAUCGGAUGUGCCCAGAUGGGAUUAGCUAGUAGGUGGGGUAACGGCUCACCUAGGCGACGAUCCCUAGCUGGUCUGAGAGGAUGACCAGCCACACUGGAACUGAGACACGGUCCAGACUCCUACGGGAGGCAGCAGUGGGGAAUAUUGCACAAUGGGCGCAAGCCUGAUGCAGCCAUGCCGCGUGUAUGAAGAAGGCCUUCGGGUUGUAAAGUACUUUCAGCGGGGAGGAAGGGAGUAAAGUUAAUACCUUUACUCAUUGACGUUACCCGCAGAAGAAGCACCGGCUAACUCCGUG
rnacentral:rRNA from 1 species